rnacentral:rRNA from 1 species
UAAGUGAAUAGUGAAAUCUGGUGGCUCAACCAUACAGACUAUUAUUCAAACUGGCAAACUCGAGAGUAGCAGAGGUAACUGGAAUUUCUAGUGUAGGAGUGAAAUCCGUAGAUAUUAGAAGGAACACCAAUGGCGUAGGCAGGUUACUGGGCUAUUUCUGACACUAAGGCACGAAAGCGUGGGGAGCGAACGGGAUUAGAUACCCCGGUAGUCCACGCCGUAAACGAUGGAUACUA